GACGAACGCUGGCGGCGUGCUUAACACAUGCAAGUCGAACGGAAAGGCCCUGCUUUUGUGGGGUGCUCGAGUGGCGAACGGGUGAGUAACACGUGAGUAACCUGCCCUUGACUUUGGGAUAACUUCAGGAAACUGGGGCUAAUACCGGAUAGGAGCUCCUGCUGCAUGGUGGGGGUUGGAAAGUUUCGGCGGUUGGGGAUGGACUCGCGGCUUAUCAGCUUGUUGGUGGGGUAGUGGCUUACCAAGGCUUUGACGGGUAGCCGGCCUGAGAGGGUGACCGGCCACAUGGGGACUGCGGGACGGCCCAGAAGCCUACGGGAGGCAGCAGGGGGGAACAUUGCACAAUGGGCGGAAGCCUGAUGCAGCAACGCCGCGUGCGGGAUGCCGGCUUUCGGGUUGUAAACCGCUUUCGCCUGUGACGAAGCGUGAGUGACGGUAAUGGGUAAAGAAGCACCGGCUAACUACGUG
rnacentral:rRNA from 1 species